AUAAUUACCUGGCAGGGGAGGUACCAUGAUCACAAGGGUGAUUUCCUCAGGGUGAGGCUUAUCCAUUGCACUCCUGAUGUGCUGACCCCUGUGAUUUCCCCCAAUGUGAGAAACUCAACUGCAUAAUUUGAAGCAGUUUGGGAACAUGUUUGCACUCUGCCCCAU